GUCCUGGCCCUAAACGAUGGAUACUAGGUGUAGGAGGUAUCGACCCCUCCUGUGCCGCAGCUAACGCAUUAAGUAUCCCGCCUGGGGAGUACGAUCGCAAGAUUGAAACUCAAAGGAAUUGACGGGGGCCCCGCACAAGCGGUGGAGUAUGUGGUUUAAUUCGACGCAACGCGAAGAACCUUACCGGGGCUUGACAUGCACAGGACAGGCGUAGAGAUACGCCCUCCCUUCGGGGUCUGUGCACAGGUGCUGCAUGGCUGUCGU
rnacentral:rRNA from 1 species